UGAACAGGUGAUCAGCCGGUGAUUGUUUACUUAUCCAUUGUGAACUAGUGGAUUGUGAGGAUACUACUCGAAAUCAUAACAUUUUUCUUUAUUUGGAUCAAGUUCCCAGGAGAGGAAGCCAACACCAGCCCACCACAGGAAGCAGACACGCACUAGGACAGUCACCACCACCACCACCACCUGCUUCCUGUGCCUGAGUGAGCAGAAAAGCU